GACGAACGCUGGCGGCGUGCUUAACACAUGCAAGUCGAACGGAAAGGCCCUGCGUUUGUGGUGUGCUCGAGUGGCGAACGGGUGAGUAACACGUGAGUAACCUGCCCUUGACUUUGGGAUAACUUCAGGAAACUGGGGCUAAUACCGGAUAGGAGCUCCUGCUGCAUGGUGGGGGUUGGAAAGUUUCGGCGGUUGGGGAUGGACUCGCGGCUUAUCAGCUUGUUGGUGGGGUAGUGGCUUACCAAGGCUUUGACGGGUAGCCGGCCUGAGAGGGUGACCGGCCACAUUGGGACUGCGAUACGGCCCAGACUCCUACGGGAGGCAGCAGUGGGGAAUAUUGCACAAUGGGCGGAAGCCUGAUGCAGCAACGCCGCGUGCGGGAUGACGGCCUUCGGGUUGUAAACCGCUUUCGCCUGUGACGAAGCGUGAGUGACGGUAAUGGGUAAAGAAGCACCGGCUAACUACGUG
rnacentral:rRNA from 1 species